rnacentral:rRNA from 1 species
UACGAAGGGGGCUAGCGUUGCUCGGAAUCACUGGGCGUAAAGCGCACGUAGGCGGAUCGUUAAGUCAGGGGUGAAAUCCUGGAGCUCAACUCCAGAACUGCCUUUGAUACUGGCGAUCUUGAGUUCGGGAGAGGUGAGUGGAACUGCGAGUGUAGAGGUGAAAUUCGUAGAUAUUCGCAAGAACACCGGUGGCGAAGGCGGCUCACUGGCCCGAUACUGACGCUGAGGUGCGAAAGCGUGGGGAGCAAACAGG